CUCAGACACUCAAGAUCAUUAAGGGUUUACCUUCCUUUUAUCUUUCUUGGGAAGCUACUGAGAGCUCUUGAAAGGUAGAUACAACAGAAAUAUACCCAGAAAAGGGUAGACAUGAGGCCCAGGCCUUAGAGGAACCAAGAGAAGAGAGAGGCAAUGACAAGCCCAACGUGAUGGCCAAGAGAGAGGUGACAGGUAGGUGGAAAACCUCGAGGGUUGGAAACCCAGAUUGGCACAGGUUGGAAGGCUCUGAGGGGAAAGACUUCAAGAAUAUGAACUGAUAGACAGCAGAUUUAUACCAUUGGGGCACAUUUAGGAUUGGAUAUUAUAUACAGUCACGCAUGACUUAAAAAUGGGGAUACAUGGUGAGAACUGCAAUAUGAGGUGAUUUUGUCAUUGUGUGAACCUCAUAGAGUGAUUCACACAAACCUAGCAGGGAUAUCCUGUGACACUCCUAGGCUCUGAGGUAUAUACCAUUGCUUGUAUGGUCCAUCACCAUCCAAAACAUCAUUAUGAGGACCAUGAUUAUGAGACACUAUGUGAUUGUGUGUGUAUAUAUGUUAAUUGUAUAUGUAUACCAUUAUGACUAAUGUAUUUUGCAUAGUCCAAGCAUUAAAAUAUACAUAAGGAAAGGAUGCAUAAAAAGAGAUAUUAAUAAAAGCUCUAGAAUAUUCUUCUCUCACCCCAGUG
rnacentral:lncRNA from 1 species